rnacentral:rRNA from 1 species
CAGCAGCCGCGGUAAUACGUAGGUCCCGAGCGUUGUCCGGAUUUAUUGGGCGUAAAGCGAGCGCAGGCGGUUAGAUAAGUCUGAAGUUAAAGGCUGUGGCUUAACCAUAGUACACUUUGGAAACUGUUUAACUUGAGUGCAAGAGGGGAGAGUGGAAUUCCAUGUGUAGCGGUGAAAUGCGUAGAUAUAUGGAGGAACACCGGUGGCGAAAGCGGCUCUCUGGCUUGUAACUGACGCUGAGGCUCGAAAGCGUGGGGCGCUAACAGGAUUAGAUACCCCCGUAGUCCCUGUCUCUUAUACA